rnacentral:rRNA from 1 species
AUUGAACGCUGGCGGCAGGCUUAACACAUGCAAGUCGAGCGGAAACGAUGAUAGCUUGCUAUCAGGCGUCGAGCGGCGGACGGGUGAGUAAUACUUAGGAAUCUACCUAGUAGUGGGGGAUAGCACGGGGAAACUCGUAUUAAUACCGCAUACGACCUACGGGAGAAAGGGGGCAGUUUACUGCUCUCGCUAUUAGAUGAGCCUAAGUCGGAUUAGCUAGAUGGUGGGGUAAAGGCCUACCCUGGCGACGAUCUGUAGCUGGUCUGAGAGGAUGAUCAGCCACACCGGGACUGAGACACGGCCCGGACUCCUACGGGAGGCAGCAGUGGGGAAUAUUGGACAAUGGGGGAAACCCUGAUCCAGCCAUGCCGCGUGUGUGAAGAAGGCCUUUUGGUUGUAAAGCACUUUAAGCAGUGAAGAAGACUCCAUGGUUAAUACCCAUGGACGAUGACAUUAGCUGCAGAAUAAGCACCGGCUAACUCUGUGCCAGCAGCCGCGGUAAUACAGAGGGUGCAAGCGUUAAUCGGAAUUACUGGGCGUAAAGGGAGCGUAGGUGGCUCUAUAAGUCAGAUGUGAAAUCCCCGGGCUUAACCUGGGAACUGCAUCUGAAACUGUAGAGCUAGAGUAUGUGAGAGGAAGGUAGAAUUCCAGGUGUAGCGGUGAAAUGCGUAGAGAUCUGGAGGAAUACCGAUGGCGAAGGCAGCCUUCUGGCAUAAUACUGACACUGAGGCUCGAAAGCGUGGGUAGCAAACAGG